rnacentral:rRNA from 1 species
GACGAACGCUGGCGGCGUGCUUAACACAUGCAAGUCGAACGAAGAGCGAUGGAAGCUUGCUUCUAUCAAUCUUAGUGGCGAACGGGUGAGUAACGCGUAAUCAACCUGCCCUUCAGAGGGGGACAACAGUUGGAAACGACUGCUAAUACCGCAUACGAUCUAAUCUCGGCAUCGAGGAUAGAUGAAAGGUGGCCUCUACAUGUAAGCUAUCACUGAAGGAGGGGAUUGCGUCUGAUUAGCUAGUUGGAGGGGUAACGGCCCACCAAGGCGAUGAUCAGUAGCCGGUCUGAGAGGAUGAACGGCCACAUUGGGACUGAGACACGGCCCAGACUCCUACGGGAGGCAGCAGUGGGGAAUCUUCCGCAAUGGACGAAAGUCUGACGGAGCAACGCCGCGUGAGUGAUGACGGCCUUCGGGUUGUAAAGCUCUGUUAAUCGGGACGAAAGGCCUUCUUGCGAAUAGUGAGAAGGAUUGACGGUGCCGGAAUAGAAAGCCACGGCUAACUACGUG